UAUACUUUAGAUAUAUAACUUGUCAUCGCUACCGGUAUUAUAAAGUAAUAAAUAUUCAUAUCAUUUCGGUUGUUGACAGAAAUAUAGGACUGAAAUCGUAUAUAAUUUAACUCAAAUAUUAAUUUCGAGCAUUGACAGAUAAUACAUCCUUGUACUCAGGGGUCUGUUGUUCAACUUGUCGUUAGGGCUAACGCGUCGUUAAAAUUUCUUAAUCAUUCGAUUAAAAUUAAUCAUAUGAUUAGUGUGUUGUUCAACUUGUCGUUAAUUUUAACGCUGCGUUAAAAAGGCUAAAACUGUCGUUAAACUUAAUCCACCUCUUUGAGGUGUAUUAAAUUUUAAUCAUAUGAUUAAAGCAUCCAAGAUGGCUGCUGUAUCAAUGCAAAAAUUAGUUUAUCCUCGAAAUAUGAGGCGUUUAAGAGAUAUUUAGCUCCUGGAAAGAGAUUUCAGCCAUAAAAUACCUUAAUAUUUGAAAGAAACACAAUAUAGUUGCUAGGAGUUGAGUUGAAACAUAAAUUGGAAAGAGAUUUGACAAGAUGGGGCUAAGGAUCGGACGCACUCAUACAACGGGCAUUUGAUAACAGAGAGAAAUUGCACAUUUCGGCAGUUUUUCGUUUGUAUUUUACCGCUCAGUGACAGUGUUGAUUGCAAAAAAAACUAAACGUACGCUGAGACGGGCCACAUGUUAUUGUGCGGAACCAUUCAGCAAAUUAUGACGAACAGCUUUCAUAAAUAAAUAAUGUUACCAUAGCAUUAAUGUACAGGCCAUAAUUGAUUUUCAAAGCAAGUCUUUGCUAAUUUCCCCAUUUUCGAAGUUCAAAUAUUAGCACUUUCAGUUUCAGUAGCGCCCUUGACCUAGUCCUAACUGUUUACGCAGGUAAAUUAUGAUGGGUGAAUUCGUCCCCGUAUAUCUCGGACCUUACGAUUUUUAUCUUUACACGGAGUUUUUAAACAGUGUAUAUUGUUUUCCCAUUUAGUAAAGCUUAUGAGCUAUGAGGAUCCAAA
rnacentral:lncRNA from 1 species